GGAAAUGUGCCCGAACGAACUAAAGGAUCACUUUGAUAGAGUGAAUUAUGGGAGUUAAAUUCUCCCCAUUUCCU
rnacentral:tRNA from 1 species